rnacentral:rRNA from 1 species
UUCGGGCCUUGCGCUAUCAGAUGAGCCUAGGUCUUAAUUAGCUAGUUGGUGGGGUAAUGGCUCACCAAGGCGACGAUCCGUAACUGGUCUGAGAGGAUGAUCAGUCACACUGGAACUGAGACACGGUCCAGACUCCUACGGGAGGCAGCAGUGGGGAAUAUUGGACAAUGGGCGAAAGCCUGAUCCAGCCAUGCCGCGUGUGUGAAGAAGGUCUUCGGAUUGUAAAGCACUUUAAGUUGGGAGGAAGGGCAGUAAGCUAAUACCUUGCUGUUUUGACGUUACCGACAGAAUAAGCACCGGCUAACUCUGUGCCAGCAGCCGCGGUAAUACAGAGGGUGCAAGCGUUAAUCGGAAUUACUGGGCGUAAAGCGCGCGUAGGUGG